GACGAACGCUGGCGGCGUGCUUAACACAUGCAAGUCGAACGGAGCACCCUUGAUUGAGGUUUCGGCCAAAAUGAUAGGAAUGCUUAGUGGCGGACUGGUGAGUAACGCGUGAGGAACCUGCCUUUCAGAGGGGGACAACAGUUGGAAACGACUGCUAAUACCGCAUGACGCAUUUUGAUCGCAUGGUCGAAAUGCCAAAAGAUUUAUCGCUGAAAGAUGGCCUCGCGUCUGAUUAGCUAGUUGGUGAGGUAACGGCCCACCAAGGCGACGAUCAGUAGCCGGACUGAGAGGUUGACCGGCCACAUUGGGACUGAGAUACGGUCCAGACUCCUAGGGAGGCAGCAGUGGGGAAUAUUGCACAAUGGGGGAAACCCUGAUGCAGCGACGCCGCGUGAGUGAUGAAGUAUUUCGGUAUGUAAAACUCUAAUCAGCAGGGAAGAUAAAUGACGGUACCUGACUAAGAAGCACGGCUAAAUACGUG
rnacentral:rRNA from 1 species